rnacentral:lncRNA from 1 species
GAGGAACACCACUAAAUUAUUAGGAAAAUUUACGAAAUAUACCCUCAAUUUAAGGUAAAUUUUACACUGCCUCUCCAUUAAAUUCUCCAAGGAAACUUUGUGGAACCUCACUCAUGGCCCCUGGACUCUUCACCCAUAUAACUCUCAUUUCUCCCUCACCAUUUCACCCUCAAACCCUUUAACUCAAUUCCACCAUGAAAUUCAUCAAAGAUAUUCCUAAAAAGCUCUUCAAGAGGAAGAAAUCUCGAUCCUUUCCUAGAUCAGAAUCCGACCCAGCUUCUUUCAUUUCGUCGGAUGAUUCUCAAACUGGUUUCAGUAACCCCACAAAAGGGUCAGCCACGCCCACCAGCAUUCUACCUGCUGACGAAUUGUCGGACUUUGAGUUAAAACAAGCGUUUGAGUUGAUAGAUAGAGACGGUAAUGGGAAGAUAAAGAAGGAGAGCUGUU